AUCAGAAUCUGUCAGAAUUAUCUCUUCAAUGCAGUAGCCAUGGCCCUGAAGUUUGAAGCUUCUUUGGUGGGUUUUUCCCAACUACUGUGAAUAGGUUGAAGUGAACUUUAAAGUCAUUUAUUUAUAGGUCUUCAGAUGAAAAGUAAAGGAAAAAAUAACCCUGGGAACCCAUUUCCAGGUUCUGAAAAGGAAGACGACAAAGGGAAGGGGGAUGAGGACCUGUCUUGCCAGGAUCCCGGCUGCAGGUGCACCUUCUUGCAGUGUUUAGGGGACUAAUGGGUACAGCUCCUUUUUUAUGCAACCCACCUGUGUGUGGCAAUCACAGAGGGCUGAGAGAAAGGCUGUGUGAGAAAGAAGGUGCUUUAAUGCUUUCACAUGUGAUCUUAUUAUGUUUGUGGGUUGGGUUUGUUUAGCACUGCUCUUGAUAAAUGCCAGGGGACGGGGUUGGCCAUGGGCAGUGGUGGUCCCUGGGCCUGAACACCUCAACCGUGGGGCAGGAGGAGGUUGAUGUCAUGGUAUUUUCAGGAAGCUUUGCAAGUCCCUGGGGACACAAGGACAUCUUGGCUCAGGCAAGCGCACCGAGCCCUGUUGAGCCGUAGCAUCACUCACGGCUUAAGUGCAAAGAUCACAGCGUGAAAGGGAAACACUCUCUGGGGGUUUGAGGUGGACUUUCAACAUAGGAUCCGGUUUGCUGUCGGAGUGGUGGGAAUUGGCCAGAGCAUCAGUCUGUGGCACAGGGCCGUCGAGCUGCUCUGUUUUCACAGGCAUUAGAGCUCAUCAGAGAGGAAACACACAAUCUAAAAAUACAUUCUCUUCCUCCGGCCGCUGCAGGGAAGCGCUCGCAGACUGCUGCACGUGCCCAUUUAGAAAGGCCCCGAGCACCCCAGAGCCCACCCUGCACAACCUUGAAAAUCCCAGGAAAAGCUCACCCUGCAACACGGCAACGUUUCCAUGGGAACUGUUCCUCUACUCCUGCUACUAAAACCUAUGGCAGGAAUGAUAACAGGACCCAAUUUCUGCACCAAACUACAAACAGCGAAUGCUACAAAGGGAAGCGGUAAAGAGCAGGAGUGGAAAUCAACAGAACUGAUAAAUGAGGAAAGCUUCCUCUGAUGGAAGCCACAGUGCUGAAUGGAGAGAAGUACACCCAGGAGAGGAGCACUACACCCAGGUGUUGUCACUGCUCCAGUUUGCUGGACUGUCACCUCAGCUCUUGGCAGAAGCAAAAAUCCUCGCAGUUCUUUUGCAAAUGCAACCACCUAAAUAAUUCAUGAGAGCAGAGACACCAGCUGUCAGUGCCACAUCCAGGAACUAAAUCCCCCUUGAAAGAGCUAAUUUAGCCACUGAAGUGGAUCAUCAGACAGAGCAUUAAGACCAUAAGUGGUUAUAGCAAACAAUAAUGUCAAAAUCUAGUCACCAGUUUCCCUUAUGAUUUGUCCUGCAGCUUCUGCACAACUUCAUCUCACUCGACGCAGCCUGUGAAGGACCAGGUUUGCUUCUUCGCUGGCUCCACUGUGGCAGCAGCAGUGAUGGGGAAGCCAAGAUCAUCAUCAUCCACCAGUGACUCCACGCUGGAAGGUGCUGCCUGGAGUUUCCCAGCGAGUGGCUUCUGAAUAGCAGCAUUGCACAGAAUGAGGUAAGGCCAGAAAAACAAGUUAAUGAUCUUCAAAGCUGCAGAUUAUCACAUUCACUGCUACCUACCUGGGGUGGCUGAACCCAAGAGUCAAGGUCAGAGAUUUUAAUUAAUAUUAGAAACAUUAAACUGCACAAAUAACUUAUUCUGUAACACAAACUCAGUGCGCUGCACCUGAAUGACAGGAACCGGGGGCAUGAAUCCAGUGGGGGUUCUCUCUUCAUUAAACAAGCCAGCCACUGGUGGUGGUGGUGGUGGUGAAUGCGGAACUCCCAGGCACAGAUCCAUAAGAACCCACUGGUUACUUCCAUCCUGAUUUUCUCAGUCUAAAUGUUAAAA